CCUGUCUGCGGUGACGUGGCCGCCUUGCAAAAACAACAGGACGAUCAUCGUGGCUUCAGGCGGCAGCUCGAGGACAAACGACCGAUCGUCGAGAACAACCUGCUGAGCGGCAGACAGUACAUCGCGAACGAGCCUCCGCUCUCCGACACCUCCGAUUCUGAAGCCGGACGAGAAUUGGACGGUGAUUCGAGGGGCUACAGAAGCGCGGAGGAGCAGGCACGCGAAUUGACGCGCAGCAUUCGCCGGGAAGUGAACAAACUUUCGGAGCAGUGGAACGCCCUAAUCGAACGUAGCGAUGCGUGGAAGCGGAAACUCGACGACACCGCUAACGUGAGUACUUUGCCCCCUCCUCCUCAAACCUCCCACCCUUUCGCCUACACAGAAAGCCACUU